rnacentral:rRNA from 1 species
UACGUAGGUCCCGAGCGUUGUCCGGAUUUAUUGGGCGUAAAGCGAGCGCAGGUGGUUUAUUAAGUCUGGUGUAAAAGGCAGUGGCUCAACCAUUGUAUGCAUUGGAAACUGGUAGACUUGAGUGCAGGAGAGGAGAGUGGAAUUCCAUGUGUAGCGGUGAAGUGCGUAGAUAUAUGGAGGAACACCGGUGGCGAAAGCGGCUCUCUGGCCUGUAACUGACACUGAGGCACGAAAGCGUGGGGAUCGAACAGG